rnacentral:rRNA from 1 species
GACGUAGGGCGCGAGCGUUGUCCGGAUUUAUUGGGCGUAAAGGGCGCGUAGGCGGCCACCGCAAGUCAGUUGUGAAAUCUCUGGGCUUAACCCAGAACGGUCAGCUGAUACUGCGGGGCUAGAGUGCAGAAGGGGCAACUGGAAUUCUCGGUGUAGCGGUGAAAUGCGUAGAUAUCGAGAGGAACACCUGCGGCGAAGGCGGGUUGCUGGGCUGACACUGACGCUGACAGCGCGAAAGCUAGGGGAGCAAACGGG